GUCAGUAUCCGCCUGAGGCCGGAUACCCCAGCUGGGCCCGGAUGCCGUCGAUGGGCCCGGAGCAUCCUCGGCGCUGCCCUCCCAGAGCCCCGCAGAGGCUGAGGUGGCGCGGGGGGCGGGCCCGGCUCCGCGAGAAGCAGCGGCAGCGAGGGCUGGAGGACCCGGGCUACGGGGCUCUGGGGCGUCUGGCCUGGGUGGGACUGAGCCCAUUCGGGGGGACUCCGGGGUUCUGGUGUAGGUAGAUCCGGGGCAGGCUCAGGACCAAGUCCCUCUCCUUCCACCAAGGAGCGCCCAGAGGCCGGCGGGAGCUCCAGGUUCACCUCCUCCUCCUCCAGGAAAUCCCACUUCCAACUGGAUGUCUGGAUGAACUACUGAAAGCUGCUGAGUGUCCUGCAGCAGGUGUCUGCGGAUUUGUCUGCUGGCUUGCAGGGGUGGGCCUGUGUCCCUGGCCACUGCUGGACCUGUGAUUUUCAGGGCUGGGACCCAGGACCACAGGCAGAGCUCUGUUCGACCAGAGAGGAGACUGAGCGUGCUGGCAGGGGUGAGGGGUUUUCCGUGGCCCAGCCAAACACCACCUUCUCUCAAGGGCCCUGUCCUUAUCCCAGAAGUGGUUGUUUUCCUCCUGUGGUCUCUGAAACACACAGGCAUGGCUCUGGGACAGAGCCAUGUGGUGACGACUGUAACGGGAGUAUGCCUGUCUCCAACAAGAGGGCUGUGGCUUGAAGGUCAGCUUAAGAGGCACCCCUGUCCUUUGAUGUCACCCUGGAGGCCCAGAGUAACUCUUCUGGAAGCCCCAUCAUGUCCAUGCCCAACAGCAUCCAUUGUUCCCUUUUCCCAGAGCCAAGAGCUGGUUAGAGCUGCAAGGACACCGCCUGCACAGGAUGCCCGGGGCUGGGCAUUACCUGCUGCAAUGACAACAUCUGGCUGGAUGGCAGAGAGCUGACAGACCGUCGCGACGUCCCAGUCCAGCUGGGCCACUGUCACCCUGGGGCUGUCUAAGUUGGCAGUGAUAUCUGCACCUAAUGAGAGGCCAUUGAGAAGGACAUUCCCUCAGAGCUGCUAGAGGACCCAGCUGUGACAGUCCCUGAAGAUGUAUGCCCGGGGGUGGCACAUCUUGCAGAUGGCCAGGCCUGUGAGGCCAGCACCACUGCCAAGCUCUAGGACAGUCCUGGUGGGAGGAAAGGGGGUCAUGUCUGCGACUGCACCAGGGUAAGCCUGCCUCGGUGCCCUGCCCUGUGCCCUGAGGUCACCUAUCAGUGAAGGCUGCUGGGUUCUCGAUGGCCCAUUCUGCAAGGUAGAGGGCGGCAUCCCAUGUGACCAGGACUGUGAUGCCGUGGGAGAUGAUGGCUGUGCUCUUGGAGAGUGUGACUGAGCCUCCCGAGGGCAGCACCAAGAGAAGGCGAGAGAGUCAGUCCAGCGAUCAGAAGGCAAGUGGCUUAGAAGACAAGCAGCCAUCCACCACAUGGCUGAAUAAACCAUGACAGGACAAAUCGCCACUCAGCAAUGAGAAGCAGCUAACUGUUGACAUGCCAACAGCUUGCACAGGCCUCAAGGGUGUCACGUGGCAUGAAAGACACUCAUCUCAGGCCACACAGGAUUCCAUUCAUUGAACAUUCCUGAGACAAUGGAAUUCUGGCGAUGGAGCACAGGUCAGUUGUGGCCAGGGGCCGGGUGUGGCUAUGAAGGGGUGGCUGCCUUGUGAUGAUUCAAUAUGCUAUGUUUUUCCUUUGUGGUUUUCUGUAUCUAUGUUUUAUCUUAUUUUUUUUGAGCUCUGUUCCCCAGGCUGGAGUCAGUGGCACAAUCUUGGCUCACUGCAACCUCUGCCUCCUGGGUUCAAGCAAUUCUCCUGCCUCAGCUGCCCAAGUAGGUGCGACUACAGGCAUGUGUCACCAUGUCUGGCUAAUUUUUCUACUUCUUUUUGACAGUUUCACUCUCGUUGCCCAGGUGGGAGUGCAAUAGCGCGAUCUUGGCUCACUACAACCUCCACCUCCUGGGUUCAAGAGAUUCUCCUGCCUCAUCCUCCUGAGUAGCUGGGAUUACAGGCGCCCACUACCACACCAAGCUAAUUUUUGUAUUUUUAGUAAAGGCAGAGUUUCACCAUGUUGGCCAGGCUGGUCUCAAACUCCUGAUCUCAGGUGAUCCACCCGCCUCAGCCUCCCAAAGUGCUGGGAUUACAGGCAUGAGCCACCACGCCCGGCCUAAUUUUUGUAUUUUUAGUAGAGACAGGGUUUCACCAUAUUGGCCAGGCUGGUCUUGAACUCCUGACCUCGGAUCCACCCGCCUCAGCCUCCCAAAGUGCUGGGAUUACAGGUGUGAGCCACCACACCCGGACCUGUCAACUAUUCUUUGAGGACUGGGCACCAGGUCCUUGUGAAGCAGGUAGAGUGUGUCACCUAUUGGACAAAUGCCUCACAACCCUAUAAGACAUGCUGUUGUUGUUGAAGUGCUUGAUUUACAGACAGGGAAACUGAGGCUAAAGAAGGUUGACGAACCUCAUGUCUAAGACUGCAGACUGGGUGAGUCAGGAUUUGAACCCACACCCACGUUUUCACUUUGUCUGUGCGGGAAGGGUAUCUGGGCUGUGAGGGGGAGGAGGGUGUCCUUCUCAUACCAGCAAAUAGCUCCGGUGGCCCUGGGUGGACUCCUUGGCCAUCAGGGUCUCCACCAGCACCUCGUACAGCUCAU
rnacentral:lncRNA from 1 species